rnacentral:rRNA from 1 species
CCCUUAGAUGUUCUGGGCCGCACGCGCGCUACACUGAUGCAUUCAACGAGUCUAAAACCUGGUCUGAUAGGGCUGGGUAAUCUUUUGAAAGUGCAUCGUGAUUGGGAUAGAUGAUUGCAAUUCUUCAUCUUCAACGAGGAAUGCCUAGUAAACGCAAGUCAUCAGCUUGCAUUGAUUACGUCCCUGCCCUUUGUACACACCGCCCGUCGCUCCUACCGAUUGAAUGAUCCGAUGAAUACCAUGGAUUGAGGGUACGAAUGGGUUCGCUCAUUUCUGCUGCUCGAGAAGUGGAGUAAAUCUUAUCAUUUAGAGGAAGGAGAAGUCGUAACA